rnacentral:rRNA from 1 species
GAUGAACGCUAGCGGCAGGCCUAACACAUGCAAGUCGAACGGCAGCGCGGGGGCAACCCUGGCGGCGAGUGGCGAACGGGUGAGUAAUGCAUCGGAACGUAUCCUGUAAUGGGGGAUAACGUAGCGAAAGUUACGCUAAUACCGCAUACGCUCGAGAGAGGAAAGUGGGGGAUCGCAAGACCUCACGUUACAGGAGCGGCCGAUGUCCGAUUAGCUAGUUGGUGGGGUAAAGGCCUACCAAGGCGACGAUCGGUAGCUGGUCUGAGAGGAUGAUCAGCCACACUGGGACUGAGACACGGCCCAGACUCCUACGGGAGGCAGCAGUGGGGAAUUUUGGACAAUGGGCGAAAGCCUGAUCCAGCCAUGCCGCGUGCGGGAAGAAGGC